rnacentral:rRNA from 1 species
CAGUAGCCGCGGUAAAACGGAGGGUGCAAGCGUUAUCCGGAUUUACUGGGUUUAAAGGGUGCGUAGGCGGACUUGUAAGUCCGAGGUGAAAUCUCUGAGCUUAACUCGGAAACUGCCUUGGAUACUAUAGGUCUUGAAUCUCGUUAGGUUUGCGGAAUAUGUCAUGUAGCGGUGAAAUGCUUAGAUAUGACAUAGAACACCUAUUGCGAAGGCAGCAGGCUAAACGAGUAUUGACGCUGAUGCACGAAAGCGUGGGGAUCAAACAGGAUUAGAUACCCCCGUAGUCCCUGUCUCUUAUACA